GACAGUUUGGCCGAGUGGUCCAAGGCGCUGGCUUUAGGCGUCAGUCCGUAAAGGGCGUGGGUUCGAACCCCACAGCUGUCA
rnacentral:tRNA from 1 species